GAGCCCCUCUGCCUGGCUGCCCAGUCUGGAAAGUGAGGAGCGUCUCCGCCCGGCUGCCAUCCCACGUAGGAAGUGAGGAACACCUCUUCCCGUCCGCCAUCACAUCUAGGAAGUGAGGAGCAUCUCUGCCCGGCCGCCCAUCGUCUGAGACGUGGGGAGUGCCUCUGCCCCGCCGCCCCGUCUGGGAUGUGAGGAGCACCUCUGCCCGACCCCGACCCCGUCUGGGAGCGCAUUUGAAAUGGUGCUGGGAAAGCGGUGAACUGGAAGUAAUGGAUCCCGCUGCCUCUCUGAGGAAGAGAAAAAUCCCAUGACCGGAUUUGAGGAAACAAACGGAAGUCUAAGUGCACCCACUUCCGGAGUGGGCACCGCUCCUCAGUAAAUUCUACAGCUGGAAGGAAGUUUCUAGAGGCACCUCAGCACUGACUUCAGUACCCAUCACUCCACAACUCAAGGAUGGAAACCUUGAACGUCUGAAUUUGCUGAACUGCUUGAGAUGAGAGUUGGGGGUAUAACUCAAGGCUAGAAACAGCUGAGAAACAGCAUGAGACAGAAUCCCUUGAGAAGGAGGUGAUCAGCUAUUUCUCUCUUCUCAUUUCAUCUUAAUUCUUGAUGACAUCCGUUGUGGACUCUUCUUUUUUGCCCUUUGCUGGAUGGUAGGUGGAGGACAGUUAUCAGAGCUGCAGAGAAGGAAAUAACCUGUCUGGCAUCAGACACUGAUCCUGUUACCAUCUAAUCCACACAGGGACUUGGAUAACAAAUACUUGGAUAAUGAAAACAUCCAAUAAUUAAUGUGCCACCUACUCACCAGGAUCAUGGCCCAACAGGGAAAUGUGGAACAAAGCUCUCCUCAAGGGGAAAGAAAAUGGGAUACACGGCUUGGAAAACCUUCACUAACACUCCCAUAUGAAGAGUGAUAGAAUGCUAAUUUCCCACAGAUUCAUUAUCACCAUGAAAUGAAAUUUUGGAACACAUCACAGAGGCUAUACUUGAAUGCCCACACCCAUGUUCUUUCUUUCGGUAGAAGACCCAGGGUAGUAACCAUUCAGUUCUUGAAAGAUGGUCUGGAUGCAGAACAUCACCAGAACAUUGAUCUGAAACAAACAACAAAUGAAUGUAAAAGCAAGACAAAGGACUUCCAAUAACAACAAAAUAUUAGUAAUAAAAAGAUUCCUGGAAGAGUCCAGGAAUCUGCCUCAUCAGAAACACACUGGGAUUUUUUCUGCUUGUUUGUUUGUUUGUUUUUUGUAGAGAUGGAGGUUUCACUCUGUUGCCUAGGCUGGUCUUGAACUCCUGGCCUCAAGCAAUCCUCCCACUUCUGCCUCCCAAUACACUGGGAUUACAGGCUUGAGCCACCGUGCCCAGCUCACACUGGAAAUUCUAAUGUGUUUUCAAAAGAAAACAUACUGUAUACUAUACACAAACACACACACACACACACACACUGAGAGAGAGAGAAAGAAAGAAAAGAGUGUGUACAGUAUCAUUGCAUUUAUUCAAAGUUCAAGAAUAGGCAAAACGAAAUUAUAGUGACAGAGGUCAGAAGAGUGGUUCCCUCCGGGGAUGAGUAUUUACUGCAAGCAGCCUGAAGAUGCUGGAAAUGCUUUACAUCUUAGUCAAGGUGGUGGGUACAUGGGAGUGUACAUAUGUGUAUAUAUACAGGUUCAUCAAGCUGUGCCUUGUGAUUAGUGCACUUUAAAAAUGUAACACUUGGGAGGCUGAGGCAGGUGGAUUGCCUGAGCUCAGGAGUUUGAGACCAGCCUGGGCAACAUGGUGAAACCCCAUCUCUACUAAAAUACAGAAAAUUAGUUGGGCGUGGCAAUGUGCGCCUGUAAUCCCAGCUACUUGGGAGGCUAAGACAGGAGAAUCGCUUGAACCCGGGAGGUUGCAGUGAACUGAAAUCGCGCCAUUGCACUCCA
rnacentral:lncRNA from 1 species